AUAGAAAGAGAGCACAUCGUGCAAGGUAGCACACCUCCCUACCAGGACAUCCUGGCUGGCUGCUGAUUGUCUCUGUUCUCUGCAAACCCCUUAGCCUCAAAUUCUUGCUUCCACAGGCCUAACUCGCUUGGAGGACUGACUGGUCAAACUGAAGAAAUCUAAUUUGUGUCUACAUUUUUCCACUGAUUCACAUGCAGUGUUUUGGUAAACUUGAAGAGACCAAAUACCAAACCUUGCUGCAACAGUGACUGGAACUUAUCGGGGCUGAACUCUGCAAGAAUAUGAAAUUAUGAAGAUUACUAUGACAGAAGAUAGCACCAAUUCACGCUGAAGUGAAGAAGUGGAGUACUCUACAUAUGCCAUAAGUUCAGUCAUCCAGCUGUGAUCUUCCCUGUACCUGAGCAAUGUCUCAACAAAAUCCCAUGUGUGCGUCUGUGUAUGUAAAUGUAUAUAUAUGGACAGAUUUGUACCAACUCUGCAUUGUUACACUUGACUUACUCUUUUUUUUAAUUAUGUAAAAAAAUCACAUUAAGCUGAAUCUAAUUACUGCAAUGUAUAUUAGAAGCAGGGCACCAUCAAAAUUUUAUUUAAAUUAAUCAGGUUUUGAUUUAAGAUAUUAAAUUCAAAUUAAUCAUGUAAAAAUGGAAAUGAUCCUUGACGUGCUUCCAGCUGUGACUUCAGUCUGUUUUCUCGUGUGAGUCACUUUCGGGAUGUCUUGGGGGGAACAUUACGAAAAUUCACGCCGGUGCUAUUUCAAUUAGAGUUAUUUAGCAGGACAGAUGUAAAGAAUACGGUAUAAUUAAGAAGGAGCUGAUGACACGGCUACAGAUUUUCAGGAUCAAAAAAAACCUGUUAGUGAAAAUUGACUACUGGUCAUGUAGUCCAAGUUCAAAUAUGCUGGGGUUAAGCACUCAUUAAUGAUGGAAUGAGGUCUUUAGAUAGACCAUUGGACUCUUUCUCCGGAGCAAUAUGCAGAAUUCUUCCCUGGAAAUAACUUUGAAGCUUCAUUAGCAAGCAGAUGAUACCUGAUAACAUAAUUUUAAAAUUCUUAAAAUAAUUUUCCACCCCCUAGUGUCUAAUCUUUAGCUGGCUAGCUAACUUCAAAGGCCUUUAGGAAAACAUGUAAGAGACAUAUAAAUGACCAGGUAAGAGCACAUACACACAGAGAAAUGUAUAUGUGUAUACUCAAAGCAUUGUUAAACUCAUGAUGAAUAUGAGCUGCCAGGAAUACUGCUAUUUUUUCUAGAGCUCUUUAGCAGAAUGAGAGACUGUACUAGUUGCACAUUUCCUGACUGAAAUCAACAAAGAGAAUGGGGGCUUUCCCAUGCAGAGGCCUGACUUUGUGUUUAUUUAUAACUCUUUAUAUGAUCAGUAUUUCCAUUGUGAAAAGUGAACUGCUCAUUGUUUCUCUACUCAAGUAUAGAGUGAUGCAAAUGCAAAUGUGCCGCAAUACUAUGCAGCGUGAACCUUGGAAGUUAUUUUUUCAAAUUAUUUUACCUGAAAUCUAUUCUCCCAGGUAAAAGUCGACAUGAAAAAAGAUCAGAGGGACUAUAAUCCUUUCUUUCUCAUACUCAUGCUUGUCCUGAAAAUAUGCAUCUUUAAACAUGCUUCUUAUGGUUGCUAUCCAGGGCUCUCAGUAUCUGCAUCCCUCCUACUGAGUAAUAGUAAAAGCCAAGUUAAAUUUAAAAAAUGCACAGUACAUACUGUACACUCAUAAUUAUAGAUUAAAUAUUGAUCUCCAUGGUGUUUUUUCCAUUUCACUGGCAAUCUUUCUCUUUCCCAAGCAAUGUCCUGUUGUCACUUCACUCUGCAAAGCAUUACCAAGUGAAAAUACUUUCUGCAACUAAAACCAUUGCUUUUGGCUAAAAUUAAAACAAAUCAAACUAUAGCAGGUGACAAUAAAAUAAUUUAAAUGUCUAGUUCUGUAUAUCUGGUAACAUUUUUCAGAAGCCAAUCUUAGAAUUUGUAGUCACAUUAUUUGCUUGUUCAAGGAGCAGCACACAGCAGUAGCUAAAGGAGAAGCAAUGCACCAGACCAAGUGUUCCUGGCUAUCCACAAUAGAUGCAAAUUAAAUAGCAUAUUACACUUGCCAUGGCAUACCUAUUAUGUAGAUUUCUAGACAGGAAAUUGUCUGCAAAACAGAUACAUAGUAGGCAUAAACUUUUUGUUAUUAGGGUAGUUGAUCAUGGUGUUGUUAUAGUUGUAGGAAUAUAAUGAUUCAUUGAGGAUUUCUGCUUCCCACUCAGAAGAUAUAAACCAACAUAAUGAUUGUUCUUUAAUAGUAUUUAAAGAUAUUUUAAAAACAAAUUGCGCAGGAGUUUUGCAUAAUAAUGGUUUCAGUUUUCCAGGAAAUGCUUUUUUGGGAAGUGCAUAUCUGUUUAAAUAUUAAAAAUGGCUCCUCAUAAUAAACUUGAAUGUAGUAAGCAACCUAUGAGAAAGGAUGUGAUAAAAAAUAUGCUCAAUUUUUUCCUUUUAAAAUUUAUUUUUUCUUUAGACAUAACAGCUGGAAAGAACAAUUAUUUUUUUUCAUGAACUAGGCUGUUGUCUGGAUAACUGAGAUGCAUUUUCCCAUGAGAGAUACACAGGUUCAUUUCCCAUCUGGGUAUCUUUCCCCUCCUGUUUCCCUUCUCCCUCCAACUCCCCUCUUGCAGGACUAGAACAUAUUGAUAAUGAACCAUUGGUUUCCAUUUCACACCCAAGAGAUUGUACGAAACACAAAGCUGCUCUGUGUGAAGCAUAGAUUAGCCCAAAGAUGUUUGUUCACAUUUUUCUCAAUCUUUCAUCCAUGCCUGUAUGGGUGGAUUCCCCUAAUGGCAGAGACUCAUUUGUAGGUUGAGGACACAAGUAGUUUAGAUUGGAUUCUUUGAUCAAGUUAGAAGUGAAGUUGAUGAUCCCAGGAUGGAAACCUCAGAUGCCUUUUGAGAUCCUAUGGGGAGGACAGUUGGACAGGGUUGAGUUUCACUCCUUACCAAGCAAAACUGGCCUUAACAAUGGUGGUUGGCCAUGGUCUUAACAUCUGUUUAUGAGAAGGCAAAGCUAAGUUCUCCUGAUUUCUGGUGUUUUCUUUAAUUUUAAAUCACUAUCAAAAUACAUAUUUUUAAUAAAUUUUUAGUUCAUUCAUUUUCUUUAGCCAAAAUGUAUAAACCUCUGUCUGUCUCUCAUUGAUUUACAGCAUGUCUGACAAAACAUAAGUCUUAAGGUAUCAUGGGUCUCUAGAAUUGAGCCUGGUUUGUAUACCAGAAAAUUAUAUAUGAAAGAUGCGAGUUUUGCAACUGGAACCUUCAUUCCAAGGAUAUGGUCUUUCUCUCCAGAGGCAAUUGACAGAUGCACCUGGGCUGACUCAGUGAGUAAAGCUUGUACUUGGAGAGAAUUGUCCUGAGAGAAGGAGGAUCUGCAAAGGAGAAAACUUAAUUUUUACCAGUUUUAAUGAGUCAUUUUGGAGGCAUUUUGUGCCUCUGUCUACUAGUAGCACUCUAGCUAAGGCUGUAGUGGCUUCUCAUCCCUGGAUAACUGAGUUUGUUCUCCUAGGUUUGCACAGCACAGUCAGAAUUGGCCCUCAUAAUAUAUGCUUUUAUUCCUUCUAAGACCAGCAAGAAAAGACACAUAAUAUCUUAUAGACAGACAUGCUAAUUUUGAAAGUGAUUUUCCCAGCAGCAGAACAUGCCCCAUGUUUUCCAUCUAGAACUCAAAUGUUUAUGAUUAACUUUAGAAAACUCUUUUUUAUGAUACUGAGGCAUGAAUAUGCCUGUAGAAACACCUCUUUCAGUGGCCUUGCAAAGUUCCCUCUGUGAACUGGUUAAAGAAAUUUUCAGAGGAGAGGUCCUCACUUACCAGCUGUGAACACACAGCGUGCAAUGACAGUGGAAGAGUCUGGGCAAGUCAGUGAAAAGAAAGCUAAUUACACUGAAAGAAAUCUCCACAUUCAGCAUGCAUUAGCCAACCCAACAAAUCACUGACACAGUACAGAACCUGAAACCACCCAAAAUACUAAGCUUGACUGUUAAUUAAAAACCAGGUCCCUAAUUCCAGGCCACUCUGCUCUAAGAAGCAAUAAACACUGACAAACAGCAGAAGUCAAUGCUGCAAGCCUUUCCACUGAGGAUAGUUAAACAAGCAGUGAAGCCAAUUUUCCAGGUUUCAUCAGGAACCAUGCCAUCUUUUGUGUUGUUAUUAACACCUGUAGAAUUAAAAGGAAAAAAAAAAACCAAAAACAAAAACCAAAAAACAGAAAACAACCCACAACCUCUUCUAUUUUAUUUUAAUGAUAUGAACAUUUCUACCUAUCCUGUUUGCAAAGAACAGUUUGGACAAUGAACACUGUAAGGUUGAGAAAAUUCAGUUUUUAAAAUAAACUAAUAUUUAAGAUGGGCUUUAAAGAUAUUGUUAUUUCUACACUCAUCUCACAUUCUUUUGGGACCUGAUUCUGAACUUUCGAGUUUUGAAGUCUGUCAAUAUUAGAUUCUGGUUCACAUAUAUGUUCACAUCCUAACCUGGUGGAGUGGGUGAGGUACUGGAAAAACUUGAAAUUGUAUAUAGAUUGUAUAUGGAAUCUGCCUCUUGAUUAACACACUCAAAGUAGAAUAGAAUGGCACAGGAUUUUGUUUUGGUAUCAAGAUGUUUUAGAGUAGGAUACUAUCGUAUCCUAUUCAAUCUAACAUUAGUAGACACAAUGAUUCAGACGAGUCUUUAAUGAGUUUCUUCCUCAGUCUUGAUGUUACAUCAGUUUUUUGGCCCUGACAGCAGGCAGUUAUGGGAAUACUUUACUUUCUCUUGUAGGGAAAAGAGGUGUAUGAAAUUCAUAAUCUUCCAGGCAGCUGUGCUGAAAAUUAGGCAAUCAUUUGGAGUUGAACAACGUGUUCAGAUUUGAGAAAAAUGAGAUGUCCUCUGGGUUGAAAACAGUAACAUGAAAAAGGGCAACUCGGCUAGAUGCGUCCAAACAGGCCCACAAAGACAGAUAACUAUAUCUGUGCAGAGAAUUUAACUGAAUUAGAGCUCCAGUCCGAAGUCUAAAUUCUGUAUCAAUUUACCGUCCAGAUCAGAAGAUGCAAGGAAUCUUUUAUCUUUAGCUGAAUAAAAAGUAAAUCUGUAAGAGAAAGGACAUUCUUGAUUCUUUUAAAUUACAUACCAUGCAAUAUCUGAUUUAUGAAAAUCACCCUGACACAGCCAAAAUCCAUACUUACAUACCAUGUUAAAGCUCUGUACUCUUAGUUUAGAAACUAUCUUUAAAAAUAAAGUAGGACAAAGUCUAACUAUUUUCCUGAGCAAUAAACACACCUCUAGUUGGUUUUUCAUUUUUUUUUUGUUUUGUUUUGUUUUUUUUUCCCCCUUCUGGACUUCCCAUCCUACUGGUUCUAAUGUGUUUACAUAAAAAUAUUUUUAGAACAUCAUAUUUUCCUUAUUCAGUAGCAGCACAAUGCUGUGAAUAGCUUAACAAUUCAGUGGAACUUCACAAUAUCCUAACCUGAGACAGCAGACUCCUAAUUAUAAACUGAGAAUAAGCUGCAGCCUUGUCAGAGUGAUUUCAUUAUCCUGAUUGCAUCAAUUUUGACCCUUUAUGAGUCUGUGUGUUAUUUGGGACAUCAGAAGCCUAACAACUGAAAACAAGCAAAAGACAGCUGCUUUCUGCUUACAGAAAUCUCUGGAUAUAUUUAGCAAUUUAGCCUUCAAAGCAAGCAGUUUUGCUUGUACUAUUGUAAGAUGUAUCAUUUCUCAGUAGGGCCCACAUGUUUGCCUUAAUCAGAUAGGGUUCUUCUUGUUGUUCUUAACCUACUUCCUUUUCGAGAGAGGUAAGGGAACUUUAGCAGCAGCCGUCAGUAGCAAAUGAAGUGGGAAGAAGCAAAGAAUAAAAAAUAGGCUGGAAUUUAUAAAAAGAAUAUAAAAAUCUAUGAUUAUAUAAUGAUGUACAGAAGA